UACAGAGGUCUCAAGCGUUGUUCGGAUUCAUUGGGCGUAAAGAGCGCGCAGGCGGCUGGUCAAGUCCGAUGUGAAAGCUCCCGGCUUAACUGGGAAAUUGCAUCGGAAACUGAUCGGCUGGAAGGUGGGAGAGGGUAGCGGAAUUCCCGGUGUAGUGGUGAAAUGCGUAGAUAUCGGGAGGAACACCAGUGGCGAAAGCGGCUACCUGGCCCAUUCUUGACGCUGAGGCGCGAAAGCUAGGGGAGCAAACGGG
rnacentral:rRNA from 1 species